rnacentral:misc_RNA from 1 species
UCACAUCUUGCGAUGGCAGUCCCGCCAGAGUGCCCAGCAUGACCUGAUGGCAACUGGCGGCAAGGGUUGCGCUCGUUAUGGCACUUAAGCCGACACCUCACGGCACGAGCUGACGACAACCAUGCAGCACCUACAUGCAUGCCCGAAGGAAGAAAAGAUCUCUCUUAACUGUCAUGCACAUUUCAAGCCCGGGUAAGGUUCCUCGCGUAUCAUCGAAUUAAACCACAUGUUCCUCCGCUUGUGCGGGCCCCCGUCAAUUCCUUUGAGUUUCACCGUUGCCGGCGUACUCCCCAGGUGGAAUGCUUAAUGGUUUCCCUCAGUCACUGACAGCGUGUCGCCAAUGACCAGCAUUCAUCGUUUACUGUGCGGACUAC